UAAAAUAUAAAAGUACUAGAAUCUCAAUUACAUGAAAUAAAGGAUUCCAAAAGAUUACAUUGUUCGCCCUAAAAUCAAAUUUAACUACUCAUAAUAAUGGAAGAAAAACGAGAAAUUAUGGAAGACGUCACCGAGAAUUGGCGGAACAUUAAUAAUUUUCGAAGUAAAUCUGCUGUUUACCGUUUUUCUAUCCAGUCGUCCAUUGCCUUGCUGCUACCAAUUCAAUCUCUUAACAGCUGCAAUAAUUGACUUUGGAGAGAACCCAAGCUACUGCCAAUUAAUUCCUCAAACAAUCGGUUGAAUUUCUGUGUGUUUUCAUAUUAAUUUCAACACCCAGCAGGCAUGUAAUUAUUCUUCUCAAAGUUGCUGCCUCCAAUUAAUUGUAAUCCCAGCUGGAGUCUCCUCAAUUCUGCCUACCAAGCUGCCGUCUAUUUGUGUGUG
rnacentral:lncRNA from 1 species